rnacentral:rRNA from 1 species
AACGUAGGAGACAAACGUUAUCCGGAGUUACUGGGCGUAAAGGGCGUGUAGGUGGUUUCGUAAGUCUGGCGUGAAAUUUUUCGGCUUAACCGGGAAAGGUCGUCGGAUACUGCGGGACUAGAGGGCGGUAGAGGCGUGUGGAAUUCCGGGUGUAGUGGUGAAAUGCGUAGAGAUCCGGAGGAACACCAGUGGCGAAGGCGACACGCUGGGCCGUACCUGACACUGAUGCGCGACAGCAUGGGGAGCAAACAGG